UGCUUGUGGGUGGUCACUAAAACCUG
rnacentral:piRNA from 1 species